rnacentral:pre_miRNA from 1 species
UGGAUACUCCCUCCGUUCGAAAAUACUUGUCGAAGAAAUGAAUGUAUCUAAAUAUAUUUUAGUUCUAGAUAUAUCCAUUUUUAUCCAUUUAUGCGAUAAGUAAUUUCCAAACGGAUGGAGUACAUC